GCGCGGGCCGUGUCAACCGGACGCGACAGGGAUGGAACAUCACCGUUUUUUCCGGUUUCUCGCGAUGGGCAACGAAAUGGCAGACAAGCGCCCCACCUGUCCGGCAU
rnacentral:sRNA from 1 species